rnacentral:rRNA from 1 species
GUGAUCAGUGGCGAACGGGUGAGUAACACGUGAGCAACCUGCCCCUGGCUCUGGGACAACCACUGGAAACGGUGGCUAAUACCGGAUACGACCCGCGCAGGCAUCUGUUGUGGGUGGAAAGUUUUUUCGGCUGGGGAUGGGCUCGCGGCCUAUCAGCUUGUUGGUGGGGUGAUGGCCUACCAAGGCGACGACGGGUAGCCGGCCUGAGAGGGCGACCGGCCACACUGGGACUGAGACACGGCCCAGACUCCUACGGGAGGCAGCAGUGGGGAAUAUUGCACAAUGGGCGCAAGCCUGAUGCAGCGACGCCGCGUGAGGGAUGACGGCCUUCGGGUUGUAAACCUCUUUCAGCUCCGAAGAAGCCGCACUUUUUUGGUGUGGUGACGGUAGGAGCAGAAGAAGCACCGGCUAACUACGUGCCAGCAGCCGCGGUAAUACGUAGGGUGCAAGCGUUGUCCGGAAUUAUUGGGCGUAAAGAGCUCGUAGGCGGUGUGUCGCGUCUGCUGUGAAAACUCAGGGCUCAACUCUGAGCUUGCAGUGGGUACGGGCACACUUGAGUGCUGUAGGGGAGACUGGAAUUCCUGGUGUAGCGGUGAAAUGCGCAGAUAUCAGGAGGAACACCGGUGGCGAAGGCGGGUCUCUGGGCAGUUACUGACGCUGAGGAGCGAAAGCAUGGGGAGCGAACAGGAUUAGAUACCCUGGUAGUCCAUGCCGUAAACGUUGGGCGCUAGGUGUGGGGUCCAUUCCACGGAUUCCGUGCCGCAGCUAACGCAUUAAGCGCCCCGCCUGGGGAGUACGGCC